rnacentral:misc_RNA from 1 species
AAGUCGUAACAAGGUUUCCGUAGGUGAACCUGCGGAAGGAUCAUUAUAGAAAUGCCCCUCUGUUCGCAUGGGUUAUUUUCAAAACCGUGUCUACUUUACCUUUGUUGCUUUGGCGGGCCGCCUUUAGGCGUUGGCUAAUGCUAACUGUGCCCGCCAGAGGAUCCAAAAACUCGUUUGUUUAGUGAUGUCUGAGUACUAUAUAAUAGUUAAAACUUUCAACAACGGAUCUCUUGGUUCUG